rnacentral:siRNA from 1 species
UAUAAACUGUUCAAUACAUGAAA